rnacentral:rRNA from 1 species
GAUGAACGCUGGCGGCGUGCUUAACACAUGCAAGUCGAACGAAGCACUUUAUUUGAUUUCCUUCGGGACUGAUUAUUUUGUGACUGAGUGGCGGACGGGUGAGUAACGCGUGGGUAACCUGCCUUGUACAGGGGGAUAACAGUUGGAAACGGCUGCUAAUACCGCAUAAGCGCACGGCAUCGCAUGAUGCAGUGUGAAAAACUCCGGUGGUAUAAGAUGGACCCGCGUUGGAUUAGCUAGUUGGUGAGGUAACGGCCCACCAAGGCGACGAUCCAUAGCCGACCUGAGAGGGUGACCGGCCACAUUGGGACUGAGACACGGCCCAAACUCCUACGGGAGGCAGCAGUGGGGAAUAUUGCACAAUGGGCGAAAGCCUGAUGCAGAGACGCCGCGUGAGCGAAGAAGUAUUUCGGUAUGUAAAGCUCUAUCAGCAGGGAAGAUAAUGACGGUACCUGACUAAGAAGCACCGGCUAAAUACGUG